GUUGUAAUUGUCAAAAAAGAUUGGCCAAGAGUUGGAAAUGGACAACAGAGAUUACUGGCUGUCCUUAAGACCGAGGUGGUAGACAGAAUGUGCCAGCAGACUGGCGAGGGCCUAGGGGUCGAUACAGAAUCAAGGCCAGGGAAGCAUCGAGGAAGGAAUAACUCUCUUGGAACACACGUGACUGAAUGGGAGAUGAAAUGGGUUCCUGCUCCAAGGAAAUUAAGGACAUCAAGGGCUCCUCACGUUGUGAAAGUUUCCCUUUUACCGCGGGGACCCAGAACACUGCCACUGUGGGCCCCUCCCGUGUGGUGCAGAAAGUCAGCGCUCUUUCCAGCAAUGCGGCAGAAGUAA
rnacentral:lncRNA from 1 species